AAAUCUGGUGAAAUGCAUUCUCAUCUGCAUACUAGCUCUGAUGUCACUCCGCCCCUGAUACCUGGGGGGGGGGGUCUGGUGUCACCCCUGGCAAGCAUCCAAGGGGGACAAUGGCUAAUCACCAACCAUUAACAGGUAAUUGAAGAAGAACUCUUAACAAUAGGUGGCUGCAACAUGCAGGUAACCAUCAAUUUAACAGCAAUUGGUUCAAUGUUUUUUUUUUAACUUUGCAACCUUAAAAAAAAUUGAUAACGUUUUUAUUCAUAACACUAAUCACCCCUAUACCUUCUUCAACGUUCCGCUUUCUUUUCUUUCUUUCUUUCUUUCUUUCUUUCUUUCUUUCUUUCUUUCUUUCUUUCUUUCUUUCUUUCUUUCUUUCUUUCUUUCUUUUACUAGGAUUGCAGUAGCUGUUAUGGCUUAAAUGAAGAUUGGCCACCUGUGGUUUACUGGGUCUAACAUCUUUGAUAAAUCAGCUACUAGUUUCUUUACUCCUCCCCACUCCUGAAUUAAAAUUUUAUUAGCUACUCCAUUUUCUACAUUUAUGUGCAAAUGAAAAGGGUUUUUUCUAACAAUGGUAAGCUUAAAGGUGGUACUUAGGCUAGUUUUAACUUAAACUCUUCUAAUUUAACAUCAUUUUCCUUGGUCCAUUUUAUAUCAUCUCCCUUUGUUAAAUUUUUUUUUUUAUAAAAAUUUUACUGUCUCUGGAUACCCCUCCAUCCAUAAUCUACAAUAUCUCAAUAAUCCUAGUAGUUUCCUGAUCUCCCUCUUUGAAGUGGGAGGGGGGAAGGGAUAAAAUCCCUGCAAUUCUCUCAUUGUUGAGUUUCCAGCAACCUUUAUUUCUUAAGUAUCUAAGAUAUUUUACCUCUGGUUCUACAAAUUACAGUUUCCCUCUUGAUACCUUCAAUCCUUUUUCCUCAAGAAAAUUCAAAAGUUAUAUAGUUGCUUCUCUAACUUCAACUUCGGUUUCUCAAAAAAUAGUUUUUAUUGGGCUUCUUUACUGGGAGAAUAGGGGUAUUAUGAGAAGACAUAUAAAGUUCUAAUGUCUCAUCUUUUAUAAGUUCUUUUAUUACUAGCUUCAAAUUUUCCCAUCCUUCUAAAGAUAUGGCAUAUUGACAUACAUGUAUGGGACAAUCUUGUCUCUCAGUUGUAACCCUUAUGUGGUCAAUAUUUAAUCCUCCCCUAUUUUUUUCCCAGCCCAAACAUCCUUGUUAAUUUUUUUCUUCAUCCUUUUGGCUUAAUUUAAAAAAACUCUAGCUGUCAUUUUCCCUUCUUCUGAUAUAACUCCUAUUCGUAAUUGCACUUGUAAGUCUCCUCCCAAUAAGUUGUUACCUGCCCCUGGGACCAAUAAAACAUCUCCCAACUAAAUUUUAGUUUCCCCCUCAAUUACCACAUCUUGAAUGACAGGAACUGUGAAACUCUUUCCUUUUGUUUAUGUUACUUUUACAGUGCCUUUGCUUACACUAUAACCUUUUUGAAUAUUUAACAGGCAGGUUCUUUCUGCCCCUGUGUCUACUACAAAUUCCAAUUCUUCUUCUUGAGGACCUAUUUUUAAAGUUAUCACAGGCUCCAGAUGGUAUUUGUCCCCUAAAACAUAGAUCUUAUGACUUCCCUAUUCUUCCUCUGUGCCCAUCUCUUUAAAGAUUUUAAGAUCUUUUGCUUUCUUAGGACAAUUUCUCCUAUAAUGCCCCUUCUCCCCCCCCCCCCCCCCCACACAGUAAAAACAGACAUUUCUGGAAUGCUCCUGAGACUUGGUUUGUAUUGGAGUUCUAUUCUUUUCCUUUCCCCUGUCUCUACCACAUUCAUAUCUUGGAAUUGUGCCUGGGGGUUUUUGAUUUCUUUGGAAAUUGUUUUCUCGCAUGGUGGCUGCCUUAAUUUUUGCUUUCAGUUUAGCUUUUUCUUCAUCUCUCCAGACAUAAACUUUCUGAGCUUCCUUUAAUAAAUCAUCUAAUGAUCGAUUAUACCAAUCCUCAGUUUUUUUCUAAUUUUUUUCUAAUAUCUGGCCAAGCAUUAGUAACAAAGUUAGUCCUUAACAAAGCUUUUCCCACAUCAGUUUCAGGGUCUAUCCCAGAAUAUUGUUUCAUAUUUCUCCUAAGCCUGUCUAACCAUUCUGAUGGAGUCUCUUCUUUCCCCCUUAAAAGCUGUCCCUUAAAAGACUUUAUAGCAUUUUGCUCUCGGGGUGCUGCCUCUUUUAUUCCUUGGAUUAUGUGAAAUACAAAGCUGUGUUUCGUGUCAGGUACAUACAGGCAACGUAUCUGUGAUUGUGAUAUGUGUGGAAACUGACCAUGGGACAGUUAUAAAGACAAUUCUAAUAAAUAACUGAGGAAGUAAAGCAUGGAAGAAGGCCUUUGAACCUAUCCUUUGUUUGCAAUUAACCUUUAUAAGUCUUAAGUUGAUUUAGGAGCAUUUGAAUUAAAGCUUAAGAAUGUUGCUGUUUGAAUGGAACUUUCAGGUAAAAAGAGUUUUGCAAUAAUAACCUUUUGAAGUAUAAUUUUAGAAUAUUGCUUGUAGUAAGGACCUUUGAAACUAUAGCUUUAGAAUAUAUAAAAAGGAAAGAUGUUUAUCUCGAUGCCUUAACAAAAUAUUGAAAAGCAGUUUGAGAAAGGAAAAUGAACAUCAACUCAAGGAUUGAUAGUUUCGACCAAGGGAAGCUGGACAUCACUGGUAUGAGUUUUAUAGUCCUUGCAAUUAAAAGGUGAACCCGCAUCUGGAAUCUGGACCUCACCAGCUGGGAGACUUCUUUCUUCUUUCGGAAGCUGGACCCCACCAUCUGGGGAUACUCUUUUCUGAGAUACAUCCUGAGAAAAACUAAAUCACAAUAGUGUAUAGAAUUGUGACGUAAAAAUUGGGAAUAGAAACUGCUGAGAAAGCUUAUGAGUACCCCUAUAAAUAUCUGUAAGCCCCAACUAUCGGUGUGCAGUUGGAGAGAAAAUUUCCCCCACUGUACCCAGCUCUGUAUUGCUCAUACAUUACCAUAUUAAUUAAUAAAUUGAUUGCUGCUUGAAUAUUGGCCUAGUCAAGCUUCUCAUUUAUAACAAUUAUUAUACGAUAGUCAUUAGUUUCCUCCCCUCCUCAUUAUUUUGACCCCACUCAGGAGGUGCAGUUGGCACUUUGUCUUCUCUGGGAGGCCCCUGUGGAUUAUGAUUUUCCCAAGCUUUUAUUCCAGCUGUUCUGAUUGUUUCUCUUCCUGAGAAAAUAUUAUUUUCAUUAUGGACUGCAUCUCUUCCCAAGUAUAAACGUUUGGACCUAAAAAUUGGUCUAAUUGUUCAGCUGUGCCUAUGGGAUCGUCCAAAAUCCCUUUGAUAUCUUUCUUAAAAUUUCUGACCUCAGAAGAAGUCAAAAGUGGCAUUUACAAACCCGGUUCCCCCCCUUCCCAUGGGAACCUCUCUUAACGGAAAUAGACCAAUCCCUCCAUCUAACACUUUUUUCCUUUCUACCUUCUAUAGCCUUUCUCCCGUGUUUUGAGAAAGAACUUGGAGAGGGCAGCCUUUUAACUGAGCUCCUAGUGUUUCGACAAGGUGCUUCUAGAAAGAAAGUUUCUCUGAACAGCCGGAGCUGUGGUUAUCCCGGGAACGGAGCUCAGGGCAGGACGGGGGUGAGGGGAAAAUAUACCGCCGAGGCUCAGUCCUCCAAAGGCGGGGUCUGCUACCGGAACCACCAGAGGGGGAUUUUCCGGUGGAGACCGAGCCGGAGCGUGGGUAGCCCCCACAUGGCUUAUGGCGACUAUGCCUCCAGCUCCCGGCAGAGACAAAGCAGGCGGGAGACCCCGGCAGCAGCGGCGUCGUCCAGCGCAGCCGGCACGGGUACUACUGACACAGCAAUCCGAACCACAGAAAGAGGGUGAAUUCAUGUCAACAAAAUCAAAGGACUUGUGAAGGAAUCUGCGGCAUGGACUAUCACAUCUAAACCAGUUGAUACCAAAUUGACUUUCAAAUGGAGACUGGGUGGUAAUGGUUUGGGAACACCCAAAUGAUCCAAGAAAUGUACAAUGAAUAACACCUAAUUAAGAAAUAAGGUGUCCUGGCUUGUAAAAUAAGCAUGUAUUCUAUUUUGCCAUCUGUUGGAGGUUAGGCAGUUUUUCUUAUCUCUUUCAAGAACAAUGACACUGCCAGGAAGAUAAUGUCCUGCUAAUGGGCUAUUGAAUUACUCACUGUGGCUGGUAAGAUUAGUUACAUCAUCCCAUUGGGAGAUGCUCCACCCAGAGGGAGGAGCCAAGCAUCCCUGCCACUAUAUAACAAGCACUUCUGAGACCACAGACAGCCUUCUUCGCUGGAUUUCCCAGAGGAAUCAGGAACCAAGGCCCAGCUGCUCCUUCGCCACAUUUUCAGAAAGGAUCUACACCCUUCUGCAGAUCGCCGCUUCAGGAGGAGCAGCCAUCAUCUGGCUGGACUACUAUCAACACCCUGACUUCUCAGGGUGUCAGGUUUUUCUCACUCUGCUAGUGGUUUUUUUUUUGCUUGUACUAAAUUACAUUGUUAUUUAGUUUUUUUUUUUCUUCCUAGUAAAGAACUGUUAUUCCCAUUCCCAUAUCUUUGCCUGAGAGCCCUUUUAAUUCUGAAAUUGUGAUAAUUCGGAAGGAGGGGGUCUACCUUUUCCAGUUCACAGGAGGCUUUUGCCUUCCUUCACAGACUCCUGUCUUUUCAAACCAAGACAUAAGGCAAAGCUUGCAUCACUGGUUUCAAGCACUGUGACCACGGAGAAGUCAUUCUAGAAAAAUCAAAAUAUAUCAGAAAAAAAACAAAAAAACCCCCCAGGUACUAGUCCAAAAAUUAAAAAACAAUGUUAAAACCUAGCUGGUAAUGUAUUAGAGAUAAGAUGAUAGAAGAAAUUAAGAUUUUUCCCUUUAUGUGUUACAACUGUUUUGAUAUUUCUUCCUUCUGUAAUCCCAUUUUAUUUUGCCAGCAUAGUCCAGAAGAUGCAAGUAGACAAAAAAAUAUUGCUCAAGCCAAAUGAUUUACAAAGAAUAAGAGGGGGGAUUGUGAAAAUUGCGUAUUUUAUACGCAGCCACAGGACACCUAAAUCUUUCAGAGAAAAAGAAUUUAGGUGUCCUGUGGCUGCUAUCUCGGUGUGAGUCCUCUCUUUAAAAAAAGUACCUUACAUAGCAUAAUUUCUAUUUGAACAUUAUGUUAUAACCUAAAGCUAUAUUUAACACACUACUUAAGAAAACUAAUACAGCACAACUUUCUAACAUAAUGUUGUAAAUAUGGUUAGUAAUUCAUGGGAAUAAAAGAUGUAUCAAAAUAUAUAUGUAUAAAAUGAACUACUGGCGUACAAAGGGGGGGAGAGAAAUUCUUCCCCAGGAUGGCGAAACCGCGGCAGAUGGACAGAGAGGCACCACAACAUUUGCAUGCGAAGGAAACUUCGGCUGCACAGGAGAUGGGCAUUCACAGGAACAUGCACUCAGUGAUGCCCAAGCGAUGAUGGCCCAGACAAGAUACCUAUCUAAGAUGACCAGGGCCAUCAACACCUUCCAUCUGAAUGCCAGAUUCUGGGAAUCGGGGAAGCGUAUUAUUCUAUUCCUGGACGGAGGCUUUGUGCAGCCCAAGCCAGAGAAAGAAACCAACUUGAAUAUGAAGAACUCAGAAAAGAAACAAAGACGUUCUGCCGCGGGAGAAAUAAACUGUAAAUGAACCGCUGCCUCGGAGCAGCCGGUGUGGACGGGGUAGAAUUGGUACUAGCGAGGCCAAUCUCACGUUCACCCGGAUCAUCUCCCGGGGGUGGUACGCUGUCCGAUUUGGUUGGUGGCUGUCGAGACUGUAUUACGGUCGCGAAAUAAAUUUUAUUUUUCAA